GAUGAACGCUGGCGGCAUGCCUUACACAUGCAAGUCGAACGGUAACAGGUCUUCGGAUGCUGACGAGUGGCGAACGGGUGAGUAAUACAUCGGAACGUGCCUAGUAGUGGGGGAUAACUACUCGAAAGAGUGGCUAAUACCGCAUGAGAUCUACGGAUGAAAGCAGGGGAUCGCAAGACCUUGUGCUACUAGAGCGGCCGAUGGCAGAUUAGGUAGUUGGUGGGAUAAAAGCUUACCAAGCCGACGAUCUGUAGCUGGUCUGAGAGGACGAUCAGCCACACUGGGACUGAGACACGGCCCAGACUCCUACGGGAGGCAGCAGUGGGGAAUUUUGGACAAUGGGCGAAAGCCUGAUCCAGCAAUGCCGCGUGCAGGAUGAAGGCCUUCGGGUUGUAAACUGCUUUUGUACGGAACGAAAAGCCCCGGGUUAAUACCCUGGGGUCAUGACGGUACCGUAAGAAUAAGCACCGGCUAACUACGUGUCAGCAGCCGCCGUAA
rnacentral:rRNA from 1 species